GACGAACGCUGGCGGCGUGCUUAACACAUGCAAGUCGAACGAUGAACCCGGAGCUUGCUCCGGUGGAUUAGUGGCGAACGGGUGAGUAACACGUGAGUAACCUGCCCUUGACUCUGGGAUAACUGCGGGAAACUGUAGCUAAUACCGGAUACGACCCUCGGCGGCAUCGCCAGGGGGUGAAAGAAUUUCGGUCAAGGAUGAACUCGCGGCCUAUCAGCUAGUUGGUGAGGUAACGGCUCACCAAGGCGACGACGGGUAGCCGGCCUGAGAGGGUGACCGGCCACACUGGGACUGAGACACGGCCCAGACUCCUACGGGAGGCAGCAGUGGGGAAUAUUGCACAAUGGGCGCAAGCCUGAUGCAGCAACGCCGCGUGAGGGAUGACGGCCUUCGGGUUGUAAACCUCUUUUAGUAGGGAAGAAGCGAAAGUGACGGUACCUGCAGAAAAAGCACCGGCUAACUACGUGCCAGCCGCCGCUGUAA
rnacentral:rRNA from 1 species